GCAUGUUUGGAAAUGUUUUUCUCUUGCUCUUUCACUUGAAGGCAAAUCUUAUGAAAUUCAGUACUUUGAGGGUUUUGUGGACCUUUGAUCACGGUCACCUACCAUCCAAUAUUGAGGUGAAGGAAUCUGAGAUUAGUUCGCCCUUGUUGUAUGUAACCUGGUAGUUUGCCAGAAAGUCCAAAGGAUACUACUCUCAGAAGACAGGAGCAUUGCCAGAAUACAUCUCCAUACUGAUAAUUCUGGAUCAACUUUUCUUAUCAAACAGCAUGACUUUUAAGUCUUUUUAUAACGUCAUACUUUAUUUCAGAAAGAAAAUAAAAGCUUUCUUCUAAAAUCAAAUUAUAAGUGAUUUUAUCUCAGUCUAUCCUAUUCUUGUAGAAAUGCAAGUUAGGCAUACAUUGCAUGUAUUUGUGUUUAUUUUGUAUCAAUUAGUUUCUCUCUGAUCAUUUCUAGCUUUUCGUUGUCAUUUCUUUUUGAUUUGUUUUAUCAAGCCUAUGUUUUAGGCCUCUUAGUAUUUUUUAAUAGUGUUUCUUCUCAUUUUGUUGCCUUCAUUUCAAUAAUGAUUUCUUCUCCUACUACAUCCCUGCAACUGGUCAUGUAUUUUUGCAAAUUAUAUUGUAUUUGACAGCUCUAUUUUGGAAUUAAUGAUUGUUAUUUCCUUUUUUUGUUGUUAUUGUCAUUAGGAAUGGAAAUAGAGUAAGAAAUAUUUAUUCCACCAAUAUGCCCAUUACUUCAAAGAAAAUUUACAUUUAUCUUUUGUGAAAAUAUUGAAAUAAAAGAUGCAAAAUAAAAAAGAGAAUUCCACUUCUACUGGUGAUAGAGUACUCUAUAUUAGACUAACUCUAAGAACCACAAUGAAAGCUAAAAAAAAAAAAGAGAAAGGGAGAGAGAGGAAGGGAGAGAGAAAAUGAUGGGAACAGAGGGGAAACGAUAUCUCAUGUUUUCUUUUUUCUUUUAUUCUCUUGCUUGCAGGCUGGAUUGAGCAUAUUCUAUGAACUGGACACUCUUAUUUCUUCUUCUGUGAUUUGCUGGUUGCCAACAGUUGCAUACUGCGAUGACAUAAGCUACUUUGAGCCGUCGGUAGUGAAAGCUGCAUUUAUGGCAUUCACCUGACAGAUGAUGCUAUGAAUUCAGGGAUUCCAUUUGGUGUUCAGAAUCAAGGGGUAAUGCCAAGGUGCUACACAACUAACAAUAAUUACGAGAAGAAAAAUGAGGAUCAGUUUCACAAACGAUAAAUUAGAAAAGGUUUUGGACUUGAAGCCCAAAUGAAGAAUCACCUUAUUCCCUCUCCCUCGACUAAAGAUAACCCUCUUCUACUAAGUGUCCGCAUUACCUAAUCAGAAUAUGAAGAAGCUGCAUCACAGAGACUUGAAUCAUAUGGGUACAUGAAUCAUAUAAGAGAGACAGCGACCACAUGAGUGUGAGUUGGAGAGAGGAGCAGAGGGGAAGAGAGAAUCUUAUGCAGACUCCACACCUAGCAUCGAUGCAGCGUUAGAUCUGACAACUGACUGAGAUCAUGACCUGAGCCGAAAUCAAGAGUCAGACACUUAACCCACUGAGCCACCCAGGUGCUUCUCCCUUUUUUAGGAGGUUGUUUAUUUUUAAAGCAUUAGCCAGAAAUUUCUGAAUAACUUUGUUUGAUAUCCACUAAACCAAGAAGAGAGAAAGUCAAAUGGAUAUUCUUUGAAGCUACAUACAGAAAAAUAAAAGUGCCACAUAUGAACCAAAGUAGCCAGAAAUCCUCAGUGGGUUUUUUUUCCUCAUUUUGUAAAUGUUUAUUCAUGUUUGAGAUGGGGGAGGGGCAGAGAG